rnacentral:rRNA from 1 species
CACGUAGGCGGUUUUUUAAGUCUGAUGUGAAAGCCCACGGCUCAACCGUGGAGGGUCAUUGGAAACUGGAAAACUUGAGUGCAGAAGAGGAAAGUGGAAUUCCAUGUGUAGCGGUGAAAUGCGCAGAGAUAUGGAGGAACACCAGUGGCGAAGGCGACUUUCUGGUCUGUAACUGACGCUGACGUGCGAAAGCGUGGGGAUCAAACA